AAUCAGCGCUGGCGGCGUGCCUCAGACAUGCAAGUCGAACGAUUAAAGCUCUCUUCGGAGAGUGUAUAGAGUGGCGCACGGGUGAGUAACACGUAAGUAAUCUACCCUCGAGUGGGGAAUAACGUCCGGAAACGGACGCUAAUACCGCAUAAUGCAGCGGCACCGCAAGGUGACAGUUGUUAAAGAUUUAUCGCUUGAGGAGGAGCUUGCGGCAGAUUAGCUAGUUGGUAAGGUAAUGGCUUACCAAGGCUACGAUCUGUAACCGGUCUAAGAGGACGGUCGGUCACACUGACACUGAAUAACGGGUCAGACUCCUACGGGAGGCAGCAGUCGGGAAUUUUGGGCAAUGGGCGAAAGCCUGACCCAGCAACGCCGCGUGAAGGAUGAAGUAUUUCGGUAUGUAAACUUCGAAAGAAUAGGAAGAAUAAAUGACGGUACUAUUUAUAAGGUCCGGCUAACUACGUGCCAGCAGCCGCCGUAACAC
rnacentral:rRNA from 1 species